UGCCGCGCCAAGAUGGCGGCGCGCUGCCAGUACUCAGCAUGGCGCCCGAGCCCGAGGAUGCUGCUGAAGUAAGAGUGUCGAUGUUUCCUUGGUUAUUUUGCUUUAGCGGUGCUUUGAAAGAGCAGAAACCUCGCGUGGUGAAAGGAGUGAACUGCUGUAGGGUGAGGCUGGGUGUGUGGGAGAACCGUAGUGCACCCAGUUGGGACGACCCGCGAUGGAUGAGGUGGACAUGGCCCCUUGCAUGAGGGGGUCGGGGAGGGCAGGGGAGCCCCUCGCUGGAACAGGGAUCCACUGGGGGCUGUCCCCAGGCUCAGGCAGGCCCUGUGGAGGCCAGGAAACCUCUUGGUUCUCGAUGGCAGCACUUGAGGCACCACUGCCACAAAAGCGCUGGUGCUGUGCCUCGGCUAUGGCAGAAUCACAGGCUGGGGUUGGAAAGACCCUCUGGAGAUCGCUCAGUCCAAGUCCUGCUGAUACACCUUGAGCAGCUGGCACAGAAAUGCGUCCAGGUGGGUUUGGAAUGUCUGCAGAGAGGUGUUGCCGAUUUUAGGAGCUCUCUAAACACAAACACAGGGUCUAGUUUAGGAGGGAGACGUUUGUUUAUUCUGGGUGCAAGGUGGAGGUGUCCACAGAUCAAGCACACCAAAGCUUUUAACUACUUACACAUUUUAUCAAAGACAUUAAUACUCACUGGCUACAAGUUACAUAGUUCUCUUAUUAAUUAGCUUCUUCUGUCUUCUAUUGAUUAAUAAAAUCCAGAAUUGGUAAUUCUGUCUUCUAUUGGUUAAUGAUUAACUUCUCAUGCUAAUAAGUCUGCAUGAUCAGUCUCUCCUUGUAGGUGGGUUUCUUGUGUCAGUGGUUGCAGAUUCCCCCUGCCAGAAUUACCUUUUGCCAGUCGGAGCUGAUUUCAGCACAGCUGCUGAGUUGGCUUUAUUUGCUUCUUCCUUAUCUUGGAAGUUCUUGUCAGAUGGCCCCUAAAUUCUGCAUCCUUUGUGUCCACUGCCAGUGGGCAUCCUUUUUUCUCAGAUUUUGUUAAUUUCUCUAGGUCUGAGAUCAUUAAAGCAUAUCAAUCCCUAGACUUUAACAAGGCAAUUCCACCAACAAAUAACUGUUUUUUUCUAACACCUGGACAUCACAUAUAUUUGCAAAGCAGAAAUAUGAGUGAUAAUCUUACAGGUCCAAUAUUGAUGUCCUGAGUUUUGUAAAUUGUACAUCAGCUAAAAGCUCGAGUUUGAAAAUCUGUUAUUUGGGGAGGAAAUUUUCUAAUUUACUUGAAAUACAGAGUAAUUUUCCUGUGGACAAAUAGGCUGCAUUUGGAAAAUCUUUUCUGUUUCAGUCUAACAUCAUUCACGUGGGGAAGCUGUUCCUGUUCAAUCCAUUAGAGCAACUGCUUAGGCGGCAUGAGUUUAGCUGUAGUUUAGCUUAACUUCUUAAAUUCCCGUUAUGGCAGUCAGUAUGUAACUUCAUCUACAAAUGAUAUUUGGUCCUCUCUCAGUUGCACAGGAAUGUCCUUCCUGAAUGAAAUCCUCAAUUUUUGGCUUUUUUCCGAACAUGAAUAUAUUCUCGAGUGUUUGCUCAGGGUCAUGGCAUGAUAAAAGCUUGUUUAGCUGUUCUCAACACUAUACUGAUGAACUGAGAUUUUGAUCAAUGUUUUUCAUAACAAUCCAGAGUGAAGAUAGGGGGGAAAAACCCUGCAGAGUCCAUGGUACAGACAUUUAAAUGCAUUUGCUUGUUACGUGUGUGUUCAUGUGGCCGGGGGUUAAAAAAGGAGCAAAAUGUUGAUUGAACCUUUCUGUCUAAAUCCUACAACCUGCGGUUCAGAAAGGCAAGAAAUCAUAAGCGUCUUGAUUAAUACUCCGGGGCCUUUGAGACUGUGGAAGGCUGAUGUCCGUUUAAAAAUCCUGUUUGUGAGGAUUUGUGAUGCCUGCCUGGGAACAGCAUCGCUGGUACUUGGGUUUUGUUACAGAAAUGAGAGAUCGCAGCAUAUUGCUUAAAUAAAAUGGUGAUGAUGCUGUAUUUAGUAA